AGAAGACAGCCUCCGGGGUGCUUGCUAGAAGACCCUCAAGCUCCUGGCCCAGACAGCUGGAAGGAAGGCCGGGCUUUGCUCUGGAGGACCACUGGGCUGGCGAGGAACAUUCGAUGAGGAUUGGGGAGAUGAAGUGAUUUGUGAUAUUUUGUAUACGACUAGAGCGACAUACUAAAACACACGCAAGAUCUGUCUUGAAAAAUGCUGUUGCCGGGGACCCUCAGAUCAUGUUACCUGAGCAUCCUCAGAUGAACCAAGCAUGCAAUCAGAGGGAGAAUGUCGCGUAUCCAGUGUUCACCUCUGAUACCCACAUCCACCCCCAAGCGAUGCGCACCUUCUCACUGACCUUCUCUGCUUGGAUCAGAGGCAGUUUUCUUAUUUCCUUGCCUCGAGGUGCUGUGUCAUACAGCAGCAGGAACAGACAGUCAGACACAAGGACUCGAGGCAAUGGCGGCGGCUGUGUAUGGGGAUUGACUCGGCACCUGGGACUCAAGACGAGAUAACCGCUUUAUCAGAUUAAAGACUGCGAUUGGCAAA
rnacentral:lncRNA from 1 species